rnacentral:rRNA from 1 species
GACGAACGCUGGCGGCGUGCUUAACACAUGCAAGUCGAACGGAAAGGCCCUGCUUUUGUGGGGUGCUCGAGUGGCGAACGGGUGAGUAACACGUGAGUAACCUGCCCUUGACUUUGGGAUAACUUCAGGAAACUGGGGCUAAUACCGGAUAGGAGCUCCUGCUGCAUGGUGGGGGUUGGAAAGUUUCGACGGUUGGGGAUGGACUCGCGGCUUAUCAGCUUGUUGGUGGGGUAGUGGCUUACCAAGGCUUUGACGGGUAGCCGGCCUGAGAGGAUGACCGGCCACAUUGGGACUGAGAUACGGCCCAGACUCCUACGGGAGGCAGCAGUGGGGAAUAUUGCACAAUGGGCGGAAGCCUGAUGCAGCAACGCCGCGUGCGGGAUGACGGCCUUCGGGUUGUAAACCGCUUUCGCCUGUGACGAAGCGUGAGUGACGGUAAUGGGUAAAGAAGCACCGGCUAACUACGUG